AUUGAACGCUGGCGGCAUGCCUUACACAUGCAAGUCGAACGGUAACGGGCCUUCGGGUGCCGACGAGUGGCGAACGGGUGAGUAAUGCAUCGGAACGUACCUUUCAGUGGGGGAUAACGUAGCGAAAGUUACGCUAAUACCGCAUAUUCUGUGAGCAGGAAAGCAGGGGAUCGCAAGACCUUGCGCUGAUUGAGCGGCCGAUGUCAGAUUAGCUAGUUGGUGAGGUAAAGGCUCACCAAGGCGACGAUCUGUAGCGGGUCUGAGAGGAUGAUCCGCCACACUGGAACUGAGACACGGUCCAGACUCCUACGGGAGGCAGCAGUGGGGAAUUUUGGACAAUGGGGGCAACCCUGAUCCAGCCAUGCCGCGUGA
rnacentral:rRNA from 1 species